GAUUGUAUAAUAUGCAAAAUGGCGAUAUAUAAUUUUAUGCUUAGCAUGGUGAUAAUAUCCAUGGUUCACCGGUAUGGUAUUGGCCAAAUGGUAAAAUCCGUUUUAGUAUGCGACGUACCAUCAAGGAAUGAUUUUUAUAAUUGCGUAAAUUACAAUGGUGAAACUAAAAUAAGAUGUGAUCCUCACCACGCUGUUUUGAUAACGAAUAUUACAGUGGGAUAUUAUAAUGAAAAAGAAGAGCGGACUUGUUGUCAGUGGAUGCCAGACAAUAUCUGUACUGUAGACCUUGGUGGUGGUGAAAAUACUUUGAUCUCAAUGCUCAGUCAAUAAGAAUGCAUAGGCAAUCAAACAUGUUCUGUAUCAUACUUGGGAGGGUGGAUUGAUUUUUUAGAUGAUCAUGACAGUUGUUCAUCUCAAACUUUAAUGGCAAACUUUGAAUAUAUGUGUGUUAGUAAUACAUCAAUUGGAAGUAUAAACAAACCCUGGAUAAACCACAACUUGAAGAGUGUAUCUCUGUUUUAUGAUUGGAAGCGUCCCCCAGUCUUGAACGGCCAUUACUAUUGUAGUAUUGAGAUCAGAGCGGAUGAUAAUGAUGCAUAUAUUUAUCCCUGGUUCUCGUUUCUUUUAUUUUAUUAUCGUAGUAGAGUGACGAUUUAUAGUAGAGAUUAUAGAGUUAGCUAUAAAGCAAAUAUGACGCGUGGGGAGCGUCAAAAAUAUCUGGCUUAUAAACAAAUGAAACCAACAAAGGGACCAAUAUACGUGAUUUAUGAAACUCCCGGUCACCCAUUCAAUUAUAGCUUUUUAUGGAUUAAUUUUAAAGCUUCUCGAGGUCGUCUUAAUGUCAACUCUAAAGGCUGUAAAAGUGGUUAUACUGUUCCACCAAUGUUUAACAUACAACCAUCUCCACCAGAUCAAACUAGUUCGUCUGUACCACCAAUAUUUAAUGUAACGUCAUCUCCAGGAAAUGACCAAACUACAUCAUCAGAUAACAUAUGGAUAUAUGGUUUAAUUGGUGGUCUUGUUAUCGUUGCUGUAUUCGGCCUUGUCAAGAUUGGUUUUGCCAUUUAAAACAAUUUGUUAUAGAAACUGUACCAAAAGGAACACCAUAACAGCUACUGAACAACCAACUGAAUCAGUAGAAAUGAAGACUCAACCUAGCUCACUUCUAUGAUUAUAUUGAACCUGGUACAACGGAUGAAAGUUCUGUAUAAUAACCACACUCCAUUCAGUAUACAUCUACAAUCUUAAACUAAAAUUCUAAUUUAACCUACUGUGUUCUGAUCAGGCAUUUUCUACUAGAAAUAUUGGAAACAUGUCAGCCUGGGCUUAUAUAAUAUAAUUACCUCUAUGGUGAAUACCGUAACUUGCUAAUAUUUUUUUUGAAAACUGAUAAAAUAAUUCCACGGACUUUUUUCUGUUGUAAAUAAUUUUAAUCAUUAAAAUAACAUCACAUAUUUGCGGGCAUAAGCCUAACCAUCUAACUAACAUAUUAUAUAACUCGAUUUCAAUACAUCGCAGCUAUCUUUAGAAGUGUUUGGAAACAAGGGCACAGUAGUUUAGCACACGAGAUUGAGCCCAAUCCUCGUCAUGAACAAAUCUCGGACCACACCGAUAAAUUACAUGGAUAAUAUUAUAAUCUUUUAUUCGCUCAAGUCCCGUUUAACAGCAAAGCAGCAAUUAUUUUGUUCGUGUGUUCAUUUGAUAUUCCUUGUGUUUUGCUAUGUGCUAUUUAUUAUUAUAGUAAUUAUUAUUGCUGUUGUGUCUUUAAUAUAACCUUUAACUACGUGUUAAAUCAACUUGGUUUAUUGUAUCUUUUAUAUAAC